GCAGUCGACUGGAAUUCACCUUCAGGUGAUAGUACGGUGGCGGACGGGUGAGUAACGCGUAAAGAACUUGCCCUCUAGACUGGGACAACUGUUGGAAACGACAGCGAUAUUAUGAGAUUCUCGCAUGGGAAACUUAUGAAAGGCUAUAUGCGCUAGAGGAGAGCUUUGCGUGCCAUUAGGUAGUUGGUAGGGUAAUGGCCUACCAAGCCGACGAUGGCUAGCCGGCCUGAGAGGGUGAUCGGCCACAAGGGGACUGAGACACGGCCCUUACUCUACGGGAGGCAGCAGUGGGGAAUAUUGGACAAUGGACCAAAAGUCUGAUCCAGCAAUUCUGUGUGCACGAUGAAGUUUCGGAUCGUAAAGUGCUUUC
rnacentral:rRNA from 1 species